GGUGAUUCCCGUAUGAUUCCAAUGUGUAGACAAGUUUGGGGACUAUAGAUUAAUGGCUUUCUAUUCCUUCCAUAGUGUCUCAGCCACUUCAGCAUGUGGUUCUGAAUCUUGGCUGCACAUUAGAAUCACCUAAGAAGCUUCUAAACAAUACUGCUUCUUGGGCCCUGUUCUGCAUAAGUAUGGGAUUGUGCUGGAUGCAGGUUCUUCUCACACAAGUUUAUACAUCUAUAAGUGGCCAGCAGAAAAGGAGAAUGACACAGGGGUGGUGCAUCAAGUAGAAGAAUGCAGGGUUAAAGGUCCUGGAAUUUCAAAAUAUGUUCAGAAAGUAAAUGAAAUAGGCAUUUACCUGACUGAUUGCAUGGAAAGAGCUAGGGAAGUGAUUCCAAGGUCCCAGCACCAAGAGACACCCGUUUACCUGGGAGCCACGGCAGGCAUGCGGUUGCUCAGCACCUAUUAUAUGUCAGGCACUCUUGUAAGUACUGAGGAUACAACAGUGAAUAGGACAAAGUCUCUGACUUCAUGGAGCUUGUGGUCUACUGGAUGUGCAAAGGAUGGAAAGUGAAGAGUUGGCAGACAGGGUUCUGGAUGUGGUGGAGAGGAACCUCAGCAACUACCCCUUUGACUUCCA
rnacentral:sRNA from 1 species